UAUUACAUAGAAAUGUGCCUAAUACUUAGUAUCUCAUGGCUCACAUAAGAUGAUGUCCUAGCUUAAUAUUUAAUAAGAAUAUCUCUGUCGCUAUCUCUUUAUUUUCUUUGAUUUUCUGUUAAUUAUCCCAUGACUUAAUGCUCUACAAUUUGUCCUUUUCUUUCGACUGUUAAAGGUAAUCAUGACAAAACCUGCUAUCAUUUACUUAAAAUUUCACUAGGUUAGACAGCCACUGUUGGCAACUGUAGGGUUAAAUUUUAAUUCAAUUUUACAGAUGAGAGAACUAAAACUUAGGAAGCUGAAGAGAUGAGCCAAAACUUACAGGCUACUAACUGACCAAGCCGGGGUUUAAACCAACAUCAAUCUGAUUCCAGACCAACGUUGUUUCCAGUAAUCGAAUCAGUGACUUAAAGCAAACUGAACUUGCAGACAACCUAUUAUGGGACCUUGCGAUCAGAAUUUUGGUGUUCAUAAAUUAAAAGAAAACAAACAAACACAGAGCUGUGGGAUGAUUCCAGAGAAAGUUUCCAAAAUUUUCUUCUAGUUCUCAAAGAGAUAUUAGAACAAUAAUCCCAAUAUCUAAAUUCACCUGUGAAGAAAAUGAGACCUGGAUCUGUUGCUAGAUCUAUGAAUGGACCAACCAUGAGACCUUGGCCAGCACUCAACAUUCUGCUGGGAGGAAGGGUCAGAGCUGCCUAGAGAAAAGAGCACCAGACUCAGAGAAAGCAAGGACAAAGCACAGAGCUUAUGGGAGAACCCAUCACGGAUUCAGGCUUCCCCUGGCAUCCAGUUGUCUGCUUUGCUUUCUCUUCAUUCUUCUUUAUUGUAUUACCCCAACUCUCACUGCAGAAAUUUACUUUACUUUUUGAUAUACAAGAUAUUGAAACUGCAUCUGUCAAAUUUUCACUGCCUAAAUUAUUUUGCAAAAUUCAACUCAUAGCUUUAUAUACUUAUGUGGUUGUCUUUGUUUUUCAUUAACAUUAAAAGCAAAUCUAUAGGAAAUACUUUUUUUCCCCCUUGGAAGAGGAAUAGAGAUGAUAAUCUAAUUUGGUAAGUACAUUUAUAAAAUACUAGGAUGUUGAAUAUUCUUCAUUAAUUUGGGAAGGUGGCCUUUUAAAUUGUAAUUGUCAGAAGCUACAUUUUCUAUUGACUUAUUUAACAACCUGAAGUCUUUCUAAAUAAAAGCAAAUUUUGGUGCAAUAUAUAGACAACCUUAAUCCAGACAACAAUAUAGUAUUUCAGCAGCCAAUCCUGAAAAAAUUAUUCAGGAUGCAAUCCAGUGCUAUUGGUAACUGUAUACAUUACUGGAGAUAAACCCAGAAUAAAUAACAUGCUUGAUGCUUCUAAUUCCUUAAAAUCAACAUAAAAACCUUGCAAACUAUUUCAUGCCAGAUUUGACAGGUGGUGAUAGUGUUUGAGGAGGCAUAGGAUAUACUGCAGUGAUAGCAAUGAAUGGUGCAGCAUUUGAGGUGUGCUUGAGUAGAGAGCAAAACAAGCCUGAAGAAGUUAAGUGGAAGUGUUUCAUACCAUACCACUUUGCUGAGCUGCCUUUAAACUACCUGAAAACAUUUUUCACUUUUGGAACGUUUUAGAGAUCAGCAAUGCAUAGAAUGGCAUUCAGAUGAAAAUAUAAAUGAUAGUUGUACAAAUUUAAGGGUUUGAAGAUGAUACAAAAUGCUGCUGAAAUAAAGAUUUUUUAAUGAAUCUGUGACCUUACCAGCUUUUUGAAAUCUUUGCAAUGCUUCAGAUUUAUUAAUUCUAUUAA